AUUCCAGCUCCAAUAGCGUAUAUUAAAGUUGUUGCGGUUAAAAAGCUCGUAGUUGGAUUUCUGUCGAGGACAGCCGGUCCGCAUUUUGUGCUGGUAUCUGGUAUGACCUUGGCAUCCUCUUGGGGAACGUUGCUGCGCUUCACUGCGUGGCACGGUAUUCAAGACUUUUACUUUGAGGAAAUUAGAGUGUUCACGGCAGGCCAUCGCCUUGAAUAUAUUAGCAUGGAAUAAUAAUAUAGGACCUUGGUUCUAUUUUGUUGGUUUCUAGAGCUAAGGUAAUGAUUAAUAGGGAUAGUUGGGGGCAUUCGUAUUAUCACGUCAGAGGUGGAAUUCUUAGAUUGUGGUACGACGAACUACUGCGAAAGCAUUUGCCAAGGAUGUUUUCAUUA
rnacentral:rRNA from 1 species